AGAAAGCAGACAAGGAAGGAAGAACAAUGUGGAAGGAUGGAUGAAGGGUUGUAAGAAAGGAUGGAUGUUAGAAAGACAAGAAAAAAUAGAAAAGUGGGAAGGAGGGUGAAAGAAAGAAGAGAAAGAGUGACAUGGAUGAAAAGAAGGACUGAAAUAUGCAAAGAAGAGUAGACAGGACAAAAUAAGGCUGAAAGGGUCAAUAAAAGAAAAGAGGGAAGGACAUGGUAACAGAAGAAGGAUGGAAAGAAAAGAUGGAGGAGAAGGUGGAGAAACCUAUGGAUGAGUGGAAACAUUAUUUAGAUAUGAAAAAAGUUGUUCAUACUUUUUUCCAUAAUAAUAGAUUCCUGAAGUCUAAUUAGUCUAAAGCUGGAACAUUGGGAACGGCACAGCGGUUUAUUGGUUCAAUUGGGAUUCUGUGCAGUAAAUUGACCCAUGAAUCUAUACCAAUCACAUUAACUAUUUAUGAUCAGUGGCUGCAGAGUGUUUUUAUUUAAAUAUUCAUGAAAGCCGAAUAAAUUCACACCUGCAACUUCAAAGGAGUUUGUUUAAAUAUUAAUGAUGAAAUAUGAUCAUGUGCAGGAAAAGGAAAAAGAAAAUCUCUGUUGUACUUCAUGGCUCUAUAUGAAGCUACACUGUGAGCCUCGGGCUUUAACUGUUCCUUUUUGAGCCUAAAUGAUCAAAAAAGCUCAGAUUCCCAUCACGUUUAAGACGUUUUUUCUUUUUCUUUCUUUCUGAAGCACAAGGUGAAGCUCUCGGCAUUAAUCAUAUUUGCUCGUCUUGUAAAAGGAGAAGCUCUGAAAUUAUUUAAUGAUGAUAACUCUACCUGUUAAAAGUUUCUGGAGAAAAAAAAAACUGUGAAGCAUGUCGGCGGUGAUGAAGUGGAGCGCGCAGACGAGUUUUCUAAACUUUUUAGGCCAGUUGGGCUAAAAAAUGUACCAGCUGGAAAGUCCGGCUUCUUUUCGCAGCAGAAACUAUUUAAAGACGAUUUUAAAAAAGAUUAGCAUUUCUGCUCGCUUUUUGCACCCUGGGGGACAGCAGCAUCAGAGAAGCGUGAUGCGUGGCGAGCUGGUGCUCCAGGAGGGAGAGAAACAAGUUUAGAUCCCCGGUGAUGAAGAUGGUCUCAGGCGCAGCUGGUGGGGUGACCUUGAUGUCUGAGACGGUCUUAACGCUCUGAAAUCCACCGAGGUCCUGGUGAUUAAAGGGGCAGUGCUGUGCAUUUUCCAGCCACAUAGUGAAAUUUAAAGACCAAUCAAGUAACCAUGUUCCCUUCAGUUGUUAUAAAAAAAAGCUACAUAUCUCAAAUAUGACUUCAAAGUAAAAACGUCCACUGGCUAGCUAGCAAGAGUUUAUUCAGAUUCAGAUUGACAUUACUAUGGUAAAUCAACAACUUUACUAAAAAGAAAACAGAACAAAAUACAAUUUUACAAACAAAUAUUUGACCAAAAAAAAGGAGUACGCUGAAGUCAAGCCUUAUGCAAAUCCACAGACUCAGCAGCAGAGUCAACCGCCUUGAGACAGAAUGUAAUGAAGACCUCUGUGUGCGACUCAAACUUUUGCUUGACAGAAAAGUCUCAGAAAAAAAACAAAACUAAAUGGAAUACAAGACAUUAAAUUGUCCUGCAAUGAGGAAAUCUAAAAUCUGUUACGUACUGAAGUCUAACUUACACGUUUUAAAUUAAUUUAAGGCAUUUUAAUUUGAAUUUAAAACUUUUUAAGGAUGCGCGGACACCUUGCAGGUGUGUUCUGAUGGAGGGAAUAAAAUUAUAACCUGACCUAAAGCCAGAAAGAAGUCAAUUUUACUUACUAAUAGUGUCAGGCAAAACCACAAUUACCCAACCCUCUCUAGCUCGGGAGGCUAGAGAGGAGCGAAACACACGUACGUUCAUGUAGAGGCACAGAAAGCAGAAGGCGUAUCAUCAUGCAACGUCAGCUAAUCCCUCAAUCCCGCAGAAAAACCGUCUCUACAGUCUCUCCCUGUUUCUCUCUUCACAUCAGCUGUCAGCACGCUGUGGCUAAUAGCUAAUCGAGCCGGGAGCCCGACCGCCACUCUGAGCGUCUGCCUGGGGCCCCUUUUGGGUUUGUGCUGCGAGGCGCGGCGAGUUGGAAGAGCGCGCGCACCUGCAUGUGUGUGCGUGGCACGUGUCUGUCUGGUUUGGCGUCGCUGUCGCACCGUCUCCGCCCACGUGCCGCUCUGAAUGGCAAACAGUUGCGUUUUAAAUACCAGCGCUACUCAGCAUGACGAGUCUUGAGCGGACGAGCCGAUUCCUGAUCAGAGCUGCCAACAUAUGGGGCCCCUGUUCCUGCUGACCGGAGAUAUUAAUUAAGCCGUGCAUAGAUGGGGAACAGGAUGUUCUCUCGGGUGGCACUGCAAGGAUCAGGAUGAUUUGCAACCAGGGAGCACUUUUUAUCAGCACACGUCAAAACGCCUCGGAGUGCGAAACGUCGAGUCUGAGGUGAUGAAUAUGAGCUGCAUUCUGAGCCGGAGUGUGAAGGCUGCAAGUUUGAUCUUAAGUUUUUUUCUGUUUGAAGAGUGCAUUUAUCUCAAAUGUGUUUGGGUUUUGCUGCAGAUGCCCACUACAACGUUUGUUUUAUUGGGAUUUUAUGUGAGACAAAGCGGUGGAUAAUUGCUAAGAGGUCAGAAAAAGAAGCAGAGUAAAGAAUACGAAAUGUAAAUUGUGAAUAUAAAUGUAACCAGAUUCAUUUUAACUGGAUUCCGAAAUCCUAAAGAAAAAUUAGAUGUAGUGACUCUUGCAAAAUAAAUUUCUUCAGAGUCGUUACAAAUGGUUAUGGAGAUUAUUUCUUAAACUAUGACUAAUAUUCGGGGGAUGGCAGAAAAGCCGUUAUUCUGAAUUAUUUAUCUCUUUCUUUUCCUUGUUUUUAGAUGCCAGCGUGGCGCUGCCGUUUUUGAAUCAUUGAAAUUGGACCAAACUGUAUUCCUACGAUCAGUACUGUACAUUUAUGUCUUACUCUUUCUGUAUCUUGCAGCUGCUGCACUGCUGUGCUCAAAGAACUAAGUAUAUCCUCUCUUAAUAUGAUGAAAAAGUACAAGUUAUAAAUAAUCUGCUAAUGGAGCUUUUUCAUCAAUAUUAAGAAAUCAUUUAUAUAAAUCAAGCUUCUAUAUUCUGCCAAAAAAAAUAUCUUUUUUAUAAAAAGUUUAUUUUAUCUUGUUUCAAGUGUAUGUAGGCGUUUCUUUUCCUUGUGAAUGAAGUGAAAUGUCAUUUGAAAGAUUAUUUAUAUUUCUUUAUAGGUGUUUAUAUAGGUGUAUUCAUAAGUGAAAUAAUCUGCCAGUGAAAGCAGUUUUUCAUCAACAUUAAGGAAGUAUUUACAUAAAACAACUCCUACGUCUCAAUGAAAAGUUACCUAUAAGUCAGUUUUGUCUUAUUUCAGGUGUUGUAAGAUAACUGCACCAGACGUUGAACCAAAAACUCUUG